ACCGAAAUAGCUCAGUUGGGAAAGCGCAAUUAGACUAUAGAUCAAAAGGUCCCUGGUUCCAUCCCGGGAUUCGUCA
rnacentral:tRNA from 1 species